UACGAAGGGGGCUAGCGUUGUUCGGAUUUACUGGGCGUAAAGCGCAUGUAGGCGGGUCAUUAAGUUGGAGGUGAAAUCCCGAGGCUCAACCUCGGAACUGCCUUCAAAACUGCCAACCUGGAGCAAGAUAGAGGCAAGUGGAAUUGCGAGUGUAGAGGUGAAAUUCGUAGAUAUUCGCAGGAACACCAGUGGCGAAGGCGGCUUGCUGGAUCUUUGCUGACGCUGAGAUGCGAAAGCGUGGGGAGCGAACAGG
rnacentral:rRNA from 1 species